rnacentral:rRNA from 1 species
UGAGGAAUAUUGGUCAAUGGGCGAGAGCCUGAACCAGCCAAGUAGCGUGAAGGAUGAAGGUCCUAUGGAUUGUAAACUUCUUUUAUAGUAGAAUAAAGUGACCCACGUGUGGGUUUUUGUAUGUAUACUAUGAAUAAGGAUCGGCUAACUCCGUGCCAGCAGCCGCGGUAAUACGGAGGAUCCGAGCGUUAUCCGGAUUUAUUGGGUUUAAAGGGUGCGUAGGCGGAAUAAUAAGUCAGUUGUGAAAGUUUGCGGCUCAACCGUAAAAUUGCAGUUGAUACUGUUAUUCUUGAGUGUACAUAAGGUAGGCGGAAUUCGUGGUGUAGCGGUGAAAUGCUUAGAUAUCACGAAGAACUCCAAUUGCGAAGGCAGCUUACCGGGGUACAACUGACGCUGAGGCACGAAAGUGUGGGUAUCAAACA